rnacentral:lncRNA from 1 species
UUGGGGGCACAUGCGGCCUGUAAUGGCGUUCUAGGACCUACACCGAUACAACCUUCAAGCCUGUGCUCUGGUUUAUUACAGUUGUCUCGAUAAUUAGGCAGCAGCAAAUGGCUAAAUUUACAGAAUACUUAUAAACAAUUAACCCUAGUAGACCAUACGUCGGUCCGAGGGACAGACAGCGGAUUUCACAGUACGCUAACUUUUUUAUCAGUACAACAGAGCGCGUCGGCCUAUGCGGUAAAAAAAAGUUUAGGAGAUGCCCCAACUUACCCGGCAUUGAACCAAGUUCAGUGACGCAAUAGCAGCUGGACAGGACGGUUGUUUAACCUAAAAUCGGUCUGUCAGACCAGUGUGUGGUACAGACCGUGAUUUUUUUGCGGAUCGUACCGGAAGAAAUCAAAAAGUACCGGGAGACCAUCUGAGCCGAGGAGGUCUUCCAAAAAUACAGACUGACUGACGGAUUGCUUGUGAUUUUGAUGCUUCAUCUGAACACAUGCCUGCCUGCUUGAGCGGGCUCGUGAGCGUUUGAUGAGCAAGCCACGGGACAAGAGUGAUGGCCAAAAAGAAUUCAUAAAAUUUGCACCAACUUUUUAAAGAGGAGAGGAACAUUAAUCAGAAACUCAUAGGUCCAAAAUUUUAGUUUCGGUUUAUUCAAUAUGUCUUAAUCGUUGUACAGAUGUCUGGUGUUGAUGUGUAGUACUUUAACAAGUUGCUAAAUAGUAUUGUGGUGGAAGACAAAAACAAAUGUAAAAAAAUGAUGAAACAUUACACAACAAAUCUCACUAUACCACGAUGAAGAAGAAGUGCGAUAUAUUUAAUAUAAUCUCAGGCAGAAUAUGAAAAAUAUUAAAUGAGAUAGUUAUUCUUGAAGUUGUAAGUAGAGUCUGAGCUCCGGCCUGUGUGCAGGUGCAACAGCUCUCUGCAGGAAUCGAUAUGUAAAAUGUUGUAUUCUUACCAUUUGAUGUAACUCGUACUGAAAUAAAUCAAUGAACGAA